GCGCCCGUAGCUCAGCCCGGAUAGAGUGACUGACUUCGAAUCAGCAGGUCGCAGGUUCAAAUCCUGCCGGGCGCACCA
rnacentral:tRNA from 1 species